GACGAACGCUGGCGGCGUGCUUAACACAUGCAAGUCGAGCGGUAAGGCCCUUUCGGGGGUACACGAGCGGCGAACGGGUGAGUAACACGUGGGUGACCUGCCCUCAGCUCUGGGAUAAGCCUGGGAAACCGGGUCUAAUACUGGAUAUGACUCCAUGACGCAUGUUGUGGGGUGGAAAGCCUGUGCGGCUGAGGAUGGGCCCGCGGCCUAUCAGCUUGUUGGUGGGGUGANGGCCUACCAAGGCGACGACGGGUAGCCGGCCUGAGAGGGCGACCGGCCACACUGGGACUGAGACACGGCCCAGACUCCUACGGGAGGCAGCAGUGGGGAAUCUUGCGCAAUGGGCGAAAGCCUGACGCAGCGACGCCGCGUGAGGGAUGACGGCCU
rnacentral:rRNA from 1 species